UUGAGUUGUGACACUUGCGGCAGCUGCGGUCGUUGCCCGUGACGCAUGUUUUGAUAUUUUCGCUGUUGGAACGCUUCGGAUGUCUAUGUUUUCUCAAUCAGUUACCAACAAUGGGCAAGUCUUGGUCAGUUCAAGCGAGGAACGCGCACGGGGUUUCUCGCGUCCGGCUCUAUCUGCUAAAAAUCCUUAUUUUAAUCGCUAUUCUACCGCUUAUUUAACUCGUUUUCGAGAAUACUCGGUGGACUCAGAUGUUGAUGUUACUGGAACUCCUCGAGCAAUCUGUGUGUGUGAUCUAUGCGAGCGCCUUUCAUGUGUGACAUCAUACCGUUCGGAUCCGUGUGCCCGGCAGGAUGGUGUAUCAUGUGUGGGCAACCUGCAGUGAAGCACGGUCGUAUCGGACAUCCCUGUAUUUCGAGAUGCAUUUCGAGCAACAACUGCCAUCUUGGAAGGCGUUCUACGCAUUAAUCCGCCAGGAGGGUCUUGAACUCUGUGCUUGCAGAUUACCUCGCAGUGUGUCUGUUCUGAAAUAAAAUGUUUUCCGUUU